rnacentral:tRNA from 1 species
GGCUCGGUAGCGGGUAGUAAAGCGAUCAUCUAGCAUACAAGAGUCCUGGGUUCAAAUCCCAGCCGAGCAC